GACGAACCUUGCUAACGUUAUUCGGUAUCACUGGGCUUAAAGCGUUCGUAGGCGGCCUAGUAGGUGAGAUGUGAAAGCCCACGGCUCAACCGUGGAACAGCGUUUCAAACCACUAGGCUCGAGGAUGGCAGGGGUAAUGGGAACUGAUGGUGGAGCGGUGAAAUGCGUUGAUAUCAUCAGGAACACCGGUGGCGAAAGCGCAUUACUGGGCCAUUUCUGACGCUGAGGAACGAAAGCUAGGGUAGCGAACGGG
rnacentral:rRNA from 1 species